AAUGAACGCUGGCGGCGUGCCUAAUACAUGCAAGUCGAACGGAAACACAAGAAGAUCGCGCCCUUGAGGUUAGCGACGGACGGACGAGUAAGACGUAGAUCAGCAACCUCUUAGUCGGGGAUAACAACGGGGGAAAAGAGAUGAUAACAGAGCAUAUAUUCAACGGGAUGGAGCAGUAGAUAAAGGGGGCUUUGCUGACACAUAUAGCUGGAUCCGCGCCGCAUUAGCUAGUUGGUAAGGUAACGGCUUACCAAGGCAACGAUGCGUAGCCGACCUGAGAGGGUGAUCGGCCACACUGGAACUGAGACACGGUCCAGACUCCUACGGGAGGCAGCAGUGGGGAAUCUUGCGCAAUGGGCGAAAGCCUGACCCAGCAACGCCGCGUGAGUGAUGAAGGUCUUCGGAUCGUAAAGCCCUUUUAUUAGGGAAGAACAACUGCGUAUUUAUCCACCGACGUUUUGACGGUACCUAAAGAGUAAGCCCCGGCUAACUUCGUG
rnacentral:rRNA from 1 species